ensembl:misc_RNA 7SK 7SK RNA
GGAUGUAAAUGCAAUCUGGCUGCAGCAUCUCUCAUCCCGGGAUUGAUUUGGCUAAUCUGGCUGACUAGGCAAAUGUCCCAAUCCUCCCUCGCUGCUCCAUGUGCAUCCCUCCCAAAGCUGUGUGCUUAGUUGAUGGGGAAGAGUAUCUCUGAUAGAGGAGGACUGUUUCCACCAUCAAGGGUAUGAAGCAGCUGUGCUCCCCACUAGAACCUCCAAACAAGCUCUCAAAUAAAAACUAAACAUAUUUUCGCUAUGUAGGAAAUCAGGAUAUUAUUGUUAUUAAACUCUUUAAUAAUUAGUAAUUAUAAGAUUAUUUUCAUAUCUAU